rnacentral:rRNA from 1 species
UACGUAGGGCGCAAGCGUUGUCCGGAAUCAUUGGGCGUAAAGAGCUCGUAGGCGGCCUGUUGCGUCCGCUGUGAAAUCCCGGGGCUUAACCCCGGGCGUGCAGUGGAUACGGGCUGGCUAGAGGCAGGCAGGGGAGAACGGAAUUCCCGGUGUAGCGGUGAAAUGCGCAGAUAUCGGGAGGAACACCGGUGGCGAAGGCGGGUCUCUGGGCCGAUACUGACGCUGAGGAGCGAAAGCAUGGGUAGCGAACAGG